GCACCGGCCAGCUAGCCCCUUUGUGCGGCGGGGGCUGCGGAGUGCUCCCUCCAAGACCGGUUGCACCCCGCUUUCCUGGCCAGGACUCUGGGCGCGGGUCCACAGAACGAGGGGAAAGGGUCACUGUGGAUCAAGCCAGGCUCCUCUGAGCAGUCCAGGGUCUAUUUACAGAGAGCAGCAAGUUCCUGGGACAGAGGAGACAGAAGGGAAUUUCCAGGUUCUUCAGGACGUUCACAACCACACUGAGAAGCAUCUUUGCAGAUAAGUAUUUAAACUUACCAGCCCAUAGCCUACCAGCCUGCCCUCUUCUGGUCUGUGCAGGAAAGUGUAGUAUCCUAGAAUGCCAAAGUGGGAGGGGAAAUGGGUGAUGUAGCUCAUUCUCUUUUCUACCUCUAUGGAAGAAAGAAAGAGCCUGUCCCCAUUUUGUGGGGUCCCAGAAAGGGUGAUUUUCACACUUCACAUUUGGCGUUAGGGCUAGUAUUUCACAAACAUUACCGUCUGGAACUUUUGAAGGCUGAGUUAAAUGACUUCAUCUUGUGUACUUGUAGAACUGCUAUUAGAAGGAGGCUGGGGACUCCCUGAUGAUGUGA
rnacentral:lncRNA from 1 species